CCCUUGGUUGAUCCCGCCGGACCUGACUGCUAUCGGAUUGAUACUAAGCCAUGCGAGUCUUUGUAGUAAUACAAGGCAGACGGCUCAGUAACACGUAGUCAACCUACCCUAUGGACGAGAAUAAUCUCGGGAAACUGAGCAUAAUUCUUGAUAGAUCAUAAUGCCUGGAAUGGUUUAUGGUUAAAAUGAUUCGUCGCCAUAGGAUUGAACUGCGGCCUAUCAGCUUGUUGGUGAGGUAACGGCCCACCAAGGCGAUUACAGGUACGGGCUCUGAGAGGAGAAGCCCGGAGAUGGGUACUGAGACACGGACCCAGGCCCUAUGGGGCGCAGCAGGCGAGAAAACUUUGCAAUGUGCGAAAGCACGACAAGGUUAAUCCGAGUGAUUUCUGCUAAAGAAAUCUUUUGCCAGUCGUAAAACCGCUGGUGAAUAUGGGGUGGGCAAGUUCUGGUGUCAGCCGCCGCGGUAAAACCAGCACCUCAAGUGGUCAGGAUGAUUAUUGGGCCUAGAGCAUCCGUAGCCGGCUUUGUAAGUUUUCGGUUAAAUCCAUGUGCUCAACGCAUGGGCUGCCGAAAAUACUGCAUAGCUAGGGAGUGGGAGAGGUAGACGGUACUCAGUAGGUAGGGGUAAAAUCCUUUGAUCUAUUGAUGACCACCUGUGG
rnacentral:rRNA from 1 species